AUUUAUUGGAAUCUUGUGUAUUCCUUUCUUUUCCUCAUAUUGAAUUACUAAUAACCUAUUCAUACAAAUUUAUAAAUCUAUGCCUAACGGAUUUAAGAGCUCACAAAAAAACAAAAUUAAUAACAAAAAAAAAUAUUAUCCUUAAAAAAUAUUCAAAUAUAGGCCCAUUUGCUGAAACUAGUCAUAAAUUUUGAUCUUAGCUAGGCCAAACAUAGGUCUUAUGUUUAACUUAGUUUAUUCUAAGUUUCUAAAAAAUAUUUAUGAUCGACCUAGCAAUGAUUUACUUUCAUGCGAGAAAUCCCUGAGAACUUCAAAUUAAUUUGUCAAAUCGAUAAAAACGUCAGUUAGUUUUUAUUUGUUUUUGAGAAAUUUUAGAAAAAAAAUUGUUAAGAAUGCCUUUAAAUUAAUGUAAAAAGCAAAUGUGUUUGUGUUUUGUAAACGUAUGCGUGUGUCUAAAUUAGUGUUGGAAAAAAACAACAAAAGGGUGAACAUUCUCUCAAAAUAUUUUUCAGUGUAUUUUUGCAUUCGCAGAUGGUUGGAAUUUAUAAAAAAAUAUUUCAAAGCGGCCAAAAUCCAAAAGAAAAAAAAAACUAUUUCGAUGUUCUUGCAGAAGAAAUACAUAUGGAGAAAAUAUGCAGCUUGAAGGCAUUUUUAUACAAAUACUUGUUUUCAACUUGUAAUAAUUAAUACCUAACAAUGGCAUGAA